rnacentral:rRNA from 1 species
CAUUACUGAGUUUACGCUCUACAACCCUUUGUGAACAUACCUAUAACUGUUGCUUCGGCGGGUAGGGUCUCCGCGACCCUCCCGGCCUCCCGCCUCCGGGCGGGUCGGCGCCCGCCGGAGGAUAACCAAACUCUGAUUUAACGACGUUUCUUCUGAGUGGUACAAGCAAAUAAUCAAAACUUUUAACAACGGAUCUCUUGGUUCUGGCAUCGAUGAAGAACGCAGCGAAAUGCGAUAAGUAAUGUGAAUUGCAGAAUUCAGUGAAUCAUCGAAUCUUUGAACGCACAUUGCGCCCGCCAGCAUUCUGGCGGGCAUGCCUGUUCGAGCGUCAUUUCAACCCUCAAGCUCUGCUUGGUGUUGGGGCCCUACAGCUGAUGUAGGCCCUCAAAGGUAGUGGCGGACCCUCUCGGAGCCUCCUUUGCGUAGUAACUUUACGUCUCGCACUGGGAUCCGGAGGGACUCUUGCCGUAAAACCCCCAAUUUUCCAAAGGUUGACCUCGGAUCAGGUAGGAAUACCCGCUGAACUUAAGCAUAUCA